GAAUAAUUUUCCAGGAAAACGGGUAAAUGAAUGGAUUCUACACAAGGAUGGGAUUCCAUAGGCUGCAAAGCCAGAAACUCUAAGGACAUUAAGUGACUGUUUCCUUCUUUUUUUUAUAGUAUGAAAUUUGCCGUCUACUUGUUUGAAAGGAGUCAAAUGCUGGUCAGGAGGCUGGUCUUCACUGGCAAAGGAGAAAGAAGGAGCUUUCACACAGAGAUGACUUCCGAGAAGAUGCAUGGCUGAGAGAAGGGAAGGGGGUGGAUUAUAACUGGAAAGAGGAAUCAUCAGUGCGGUGCCUUCCUCCUCCGUCUCCUGGAUGUUCUCUCUCUGAGCUGCUGGCUGAAGAUGUCAGGGGUACCUUGAAGCCACAAGAUGGAAGCAGCCUGGGUUCCUGAAGUGCUGUUUGGAGGAAAGCUGCCCAGGAGAACCACCUGACUAGGAAUAUCAACCUUGGAAUUUAUAUGAGCAAGAAAAUACGUGACAGCGUUCAAUCACGGUGAUUUUGGGGGUGUUUGUUUCAGCAGUUAGCAAAUCCCGAAGAAUACACCACACCGUGUAUUGUGGAGAGUAAUGAUGGGGAGUAUGAUGGAGAGCAAUCACUUAAAAAGGCAUCUUUGUUGUUAGAGUUGAAAUGAAG
rnacentral:lncRNA from 1 species